CGUCAAAGGAGGUAUAACUUAAAAUUGAAGUACUUCAAUGGGUUAUCACAAGAUCAGGUGCCGAGAACAUCACCAGUGGCUUGCAUGAGUGAUGCACAAUGGCUUGAAUUGGUGGCCAUGUGGUCAAAGGAAGAACACAAGGAGAAGUGUGCAAAAAACAAAAUUAAUCGUGAGUGCGUCCAAUAUCAGCAGCGCACAGGUUCACGGUGCUACGAGGCACAAGCUUAUGUUGCGAAACAAGAAAGAUUUAAAGAUUCAACGCCCACUGCAAUUGACCUCUUUAAGGAAAUGCAUUGCAGCAGGAAAAGAGAUUUCAGUGAGCAAGUAAAGCAAGCUAUUGUAAGUUCUGAAUCUUGUGAUUUUUGUAGGC